rnacentral:lncRNA from 10 species
AUCAUUUCCUCCCGGCGCGGAUCCAGGGAGCCGGGAGGGGAGAGAGGAGGCGGCGGGGCGGGGCCGUCCCCGCGCCCCCUGCAGGCGCCCGGCCGAGGGCGAGCCCGCCGAGCCCCGCCGAGCCUGACCGCGCCGCCCCCGGCGCGCCUGGCGCUGUCUGGCCGGUCGCUUGGCCCGGGUGGAAGCUAUGAGCGCGCCGCCAGCGGGGCUCCUCGGAGGCGGCGGGGCAGGCCCGAGCUGGGCUCCUGUGGCCGGGGUGGGAGGAGAAGAGGCCGCGCGGCACGGGUGAGUGCCCAGGUUCAUUCAUGCAGAGGGCAUUUAUUGGGUGACUGCAGUACUGCAAAAGGUUGCAAAGGAAAUGGAAGAUCUGGUCCCUGCAGGUUGGGAGUUUACAAUCUAAUUAGAAAUACAAGGCAUAUAUACGUGAAAAAACUAGAAUCCCCAGCUGUAAGCAAAAGGAUGGAGUAGGUGGGAGCAUUUUUUUCAUAAAGAGAGCUUUGUACCUGUAUGAUUGGUGAGGAGCAGGAGAGGCAAGUUCAGUACCAAUCAAGGCAAGAGCACCUAUAUGUAUCCCUGCUCUAUAGAAUGAUGUAACAGGGCCCUCAUUGUCACUUGGCUGAAGUGUCAGCUCUGCCACUUACAAACUGUUUUGAACUGGGGCACAUUUUUAACCUAAGAAGGGAAUACAGGUUGUCUCGUGAGGUGGUUGUGCAGUUCAAAUGAGAUUACAAACGUGAAAGCUUGUGAAGCUCAAUGAUGUACAUUCAUGGAGUCCUCAUUGUACAAACUGGCCCUUCUUGGUAACCUUUAGAGUUCCCUCCCAGGCUGUAAGCUGCAAGAGGGCAGGGACCAGGUCUGAUUGUAUUCAUCAUGUAUCACAAUGUUUAGCAGAAGGGUUCAUGUGGGUGUUCAAUAAAGUUUUGCUGAGUAGGUAAAUAAAUGAAUUAAUGAAUCCUGUUAUGCUCUGAACAGUUCCUAUUAUUUGUUCCUUAAGCAGUUCCUUCAAUAGUGGUCUUAUUGUAUGGCUGGCUCAGUGAAAAACACUCUAACUCAACCUCCUGUGACUUACUAGUGUGCCAGGAGACUGGGAGAAUUCUGGAUGGUACUGUCAGAGGCAUUCAAACCAGAGAAACUCCAUUUUGAAUGAGGGCUAGGAAAAUGAGACUGAGACUGGCUGGGCUGCAUUCUCGGGAAGUUAGGCUUUCUUAGCCUCUAGAUGUUUACAGCUAAGGGAACAAAUUAAUAGUGUUUACUAAACAAACCCAGACUUGGGAGUGUCCAGAUAUCCCGAUAUCUGGAGAACAAAGGCAUUCCUAAUUUUGCUUUAAAGAUAAUAUUGAUUCUUGCAAAAUAUAGUAAUUUAUUUAUUUAUCACAAACUCUUGUAGCAGAGCACAUCUCCCUAUAUAUACGAGCGAUGUACCUAGCAUGGAAUCGUUCCUCCUCUUACUUUCGGCAACAUCCUACUUUGUCUAUGGAGUAGGUGUCCUUUCACCACUUUGCUUUCUUAAUAAACUGGC